rnacentral:rRNA from 1 species
UGUCUAUUAAUUGUAGACCCGUAUGAAAGGCAAAAUGAGGGUUUAACUGUCUCUUAUAAUAAAUCAAUUAAACUGAUCUCCCAGUAAAAAAGCUGGCAUUCCCACAUAAGACCAGAAGACCCUGUGAAGCUUAAACUAAACUAUUAAACCCCAUAAUAGCUACUUUCGGUUGGGGCGACCUUGGAAAAAAAGAAAACUUCCAAACACAACGACUAUAACUCACACUCCUGGCUAACAAGCCUUAAACGACCCAGCACAGCUGAUAAAUGAACCAAGUUACUCCAGGGAUAACAGCGCCAUCUUCUUCAAGAGCCCAUAUCAAAAAGAAGGUUUACGACCUCGAUGUUGGAUCAGGACAUCCUAAUGGUGCA